ACACUAUAAUAAACACAAAAAGUUCAAUGUACGAAAUUAAAAAAAAACAUUAUAGUGCAAAGACAAAAACAAUGCCCAAAGUCCCUAGUCCGAUCAACGCAGUUCUGACUUCGGAGUUUAGUUGGAGUUCGUGGUGUUCAAUAGCCUGCUGGUUGUUUGGAAGAAGCUGCUCCUGAACCACAUUACAGUUUUCAGGAUCCUAUUCUUUCUUCCCAUUGGCAGGAGUAAAUGAGAGCAUGGUGUUGGUCCUUGAUGAUGCUGACUGCCAUUUUGAGGCAUUACCUCCUGUAGAUCUCUUUGAUGGUGGGGAUAGGUGAGGAAGGGGGAUAUCUGCUGUUUAAGUACCCAUCUGCUCAUUACUCGAGGAAGUUAGAGAAUAUACAAGGGCAUUUAAAAGUUAUGAAAUUAAAGUCAGCAAGGUCGGCCUUAAGCCGAUUGGACCGAUUGCUCCCAAUUGGGUGCCGCGCCUAAAGGGGGCCCCGCACUAAUGUUCCGUAUUUCGCACGGAAGUACGAAUUUGCUUUGUUAAAUAAAGAUUAUUUUAAAAACAUUCGCCAUCCGAAUUUCUUUAAAAAACGAACAUGGAUAACAACCGCUGCAUGGCCACCAGACACAAACGAUUUGUUAACUACUACUGUUAGCACUUGUUAACAGCCAGUAGUUAACAAGUAGUUAUACAAUGUCAUCAAUGCAUCGAUCCACAUUCCUCAGUAAAUGUAAUUGUGUUUGAACAAGUAUUAAUGACGUUGCGUUCCUUUGAAUACAAUUCACGUGGUGUCAUUAAUCCUUGUUCAAAAUACACUUUUUAACUUGGCACAGAGUGCUAUGGUUACCCGUUUUUUAUUGCACAAGAGUCGAGUCAAGAAUUUAUAAUUGUCAUGUGUACCCACAACAGAACAAUGAAAUUCUUAUUUGCAGCAGCAUAACAGGCGUUUAAACACAAUACUCAUAGAUUUCAAUGUGCCCUGAGGUGCCCGUCAUGGCCACCUGGCCAACAGUCUGUCUCGUCCUUUUUCUGUUUUUAUUAUUUUGUAGCGGCACCUAGUGGUUAAGCUGUGUAUUCAGAACUCUCAUCAUUGGUCGGGACUGUCACGUAACAGGCGGUUCGUUCGCGGGCUUUUCAGUAUGUUCAGUAGCUAGUGCUCUUCACGCCGACAAGAGCUUAAACGUUUAUUCCUGAUCAAGUACACGUGUGGUUCAAGUGUUGCUUUCGUUAAUAAAGAACAUUUUGCUCUACCUGCUUGUCUCACUGCAAUUUUAACCUACAACGUGGAGUGGUGCGGCCUUUCCUGGGGACCGGCCCAGAACUUCAAGCCGCAGGCGCAGCACGGACUUACCAUCGCAGAGCAGGCGAUCCUUUGCCGAGGAUCACCACGAAAGCACUCCGACCGCGGGGCCAGUGGACUUUAACACCAUGAAGCAGUGUUCCGAUCCGUCCCGAUGCCGGAGUUUCCAUCAUCCCGACGCAAGGGCUUGAACAUCAGACCGCUGGCAUCAGCACUGCGGAAGGUGCAUAGGCCCUGGCCACGGGUGAACAAAAGAGGAAUAUGACUGAACUUUAUUGCCUUCCUGUACAGUGAGGAAUGCGGAUUCCACUGUGGUGGAUGUUUAUGUUAAAUUUGAUUUUAUGUGUCUGUGUAUUGUUGCUUUUCGUAUGGCUGUAUGGUAACUCAAAUUUCACUGUACCUUAAUUGGUUAAGUGACAAUAAAUGCGAACUUGAACUUGGAAGAUAA